CAUGAUACUGCUUUGCAUUCACAUAAAUAGGUCCAUCAUCUGUUGUUAAGCUCAUUGGCAGCAUAAUCCGACCCUGAAUAUUACAAAUGAGAAUACAUGCAAGUAAAGAAAAAAGGGUAUGGUUGAAGAAUGGAGGGAAACAUACUGGUAUUUGAGGAGCAUAUGCUGAGAGGAUGCCAUAAUGCUGUUCCAUGGGGGAUUGCAGGGAAAAAAUUGGUGAAGGUUUUUGUGGAUCCACAGAAAUCUUACAGUCACCUGCAAGGAUUUUUCAACAGAAGUUUUCUCAUCAGAGAAGGAUAGAAACCUCACCAUUGUGAUAGAUAUUUUAACUGAGUAAGCACAAAAAAAGGGGAAAAAAGACUUUCUCGAGCUUCAUACUCCUUUCUUUCCCUCUUGUUUCAUAAACAUUGAGAUGAAACUUCUGUAAAUGUUAUCUCCGGUUGUGAUGUAAAAUAUAUCUUUUUUCACCA